GAUGAACGCUGGCGGCGUGCUUAAUACAUGCAAGUCGAACGGAAAGGCCCUGAUCUUGCGGCGUGCUCGAGUGGCGAACGGGUGAGUAACACGCGAGUAACAUGUACUUGACAUUGGGAUAACUUCAGGAAACUCGGGCUCAUAUAGCAUAGGAGCUCUUGCAGCAUGGUGGGGGUUGGAAAGUUUCGGCGGUUGGGGAUGGACUCGCGGGUUAACCGCCUGUUGGUGGGGUAGUGGAUUACAAAGGUUUCGACGGAUAGGCGGCCUGAGAGGGUGACCAGCCACAAUGGAACUACGAUACGGCCCAGUCGCCUACGUGAGGCAACAGGCGGGAGUAUGACGCAAUAGGGGGAAGCCAGAUGCAGCAGCGCCGGGUGCGGGAUAACGUCCUUCGAGGUAUAAACCGCUUUCGCCUUAGACGAGGCGUGAGUGACGGUAAUGAGUAAGAAAGCACCGGCUAACUACGUG
rnacentral:rRNA from 1 species